rnacentral:rRNA from 1 species
UACGUAGGGGGCAAGCGUUGUCCGGAAUCAUUGGGCGUAAAGCGCGCGUAGGCGGCCCGGUAAGUCCGUUGUGAAAGUCAAAGGCUCAACCUUUGAAUGCCGAUGGAUACUGCCGGGCUAGAGUCCGGAAGAGGCGAGUGGAAUUCCUGGUGUAGCGGUGGAAUGCGCAGAUAUCGGGAAGAACACCCGUGGCGAAAGCGGCUCUCUGGGACGGUACUGACGCUGAGACGCGAAAGCGUGGGGAGCGAACAGG